GGGAGACCAUGGAAGGGGGUGCGGGUAUACUGAGGGUGGCAAGACGUAGUCGGAAGGACUUGGCGGAAAUGGCACGACGGCGGUUGGAGAAUGGAUAUGUGAAAGGCCCGGGCUCGACCUUGGAGUUUGAGUUAAGACUGUCCAGCUAGUGACAAUUAGAGGGGGGUAGAAUUCAGGGUGUCGCGGUGAAAUGCGUAGAGAUCUCGAGGAAUACCGAUAGCGAAAGCGGCCCCCUGGACAAAGACUGACGCUCAGGUGCUAAUGCGUGGGUAGCAAUCAGGAUUAGAUACCCCUGUAGUC
rnacentral:rRNA from 1 species